UCGAACGAGAAAGUGGAGCAAUCCAUGAGUACAGUGGCGACCGGGUGAGUAACACGUGACUAACCUACCUCCGAAUGGGGAAUAACUCCGGGAAACCGGGGCUAAUACCGCAUAACACCGCAAGGUCAAAGCAGCAAUGCGUUUGGAGAGGGGGUCGCGGCUGAUUAGCUAGUUGGCGGGGUAACGGCCCACCAAGGCGAAGAUCGGUAUCCGGCCUGAGAGGGCGCACGGACACACUGGAACUGAAACACGGUCCAGACUCCUACGGGAGGCAGCAGUGGGGAAUUUUGCGCAAUGGGGGAAACCCUGACGCAGCAACGCCGCGUGGAGGAUGAAGCCCUUUGGGGCGUAUACUCCUUUCGACCAAGACGAUAAUGACGGUACUGGUGGAAGAAGCACCGGCUAACUCUGUG
rnacentral:rRNA from 1 species